UACGGAGGGUGCAAGCGUUAUCCGGAUUCACUGGGCUUAAAGGGUGCGUAGGCGGGCAGGCAAGUCAGUGGUGAAAUCCUUGAGCUUAACUCGAGAACUGCCAUUGAUACUAUCUGUCUUGAAUAUUGUGGAGGUAAGCGGAAUAUGUCAUGUAGCGGUGAAAUGCUUAGAUAUGACAUAGAACACCUAUUGCGAAGGCAGCUUACUACGCAUAUAUUGACGCUGAGGCACGAAAGCGUGGGGAUCAAACAGG
rnacentral:rRNA from 1 species